rnacentral:rRNA from 1 species
UACGUAGGGUGCAAGCGUUUAAUCGGAAUUACUGGGCGUAAAGCGUGCGCAGGCGGUUUGGUAAGACAGAUGUGAAAUCCCCGGGCUCAACCUGGGAAUUGCAUUUGUGACUGCCCGACUAGAGUGUGUCAGAGGGGGGUAGAAUUCCACGUGUAGCAGUGAAAUGCGUAGAGAUGUGGAGGAAUACCGAUGGCGAAGGCAGCCCCCCUGGGAUAACACUGACGCUCAUGCACGAAAGCGUGGGGAGCAA